rnacentral:rRNA from 1 species
AACGAACGCUGGCGGCAGGCUUAACACAUGCAAGUCGAGCGCCCCGCAAGGGGAGCGGCAGACGGGUGAGUAACGCGUGGGAAUCUACCCAUCUCUACGGAAUAACGCAUGGAAACGUGUGCUAAUACCGUAUACGUCCUUCGGGAGAAAGAUUUAUCGGAGAUGGAUGAGCCCGCGUUGGAUUAGAGAGUUGGUGGGGUAAAGGCCUACCAAGGCGACGAUCCAUAGCUGGUCUGAGAGGAUGAUCAGCCACACUGGGACUGAGACACGGCCCAGACUCCUACGGGAGGCAGCAGUGGGGAAUAUUGGACAAUGGGCGCAAGCCUGAUCCAGCCAUGCCGCGUGAGUGAUGAAGGCCCUAGGGUUGUAAAGCUCUUUCACCGGUGAAGAUAAUGACGGUAACCGGAGAAGAAGCCCCGGCUAACUUCGUGCCAGCAGCCGCAGUAAAAC